GGCUCUACCAGCCACCUGAGCCACCGGAAUAUUUAAUCACACCAGCAGUCCCACUGUACUCGAUGGACUCGUUUGCUGGUUUGGGCUAUUUGGCUGUCAGCACACUCAGCUCAAGUCUCACGUGAGCAACAUUUCUCCAUUCUUUGUCAAUCAUUGGCGGGUGUUUCACAAACCAUCUUCUGAUAUGGACAUGAUAGAAAUCCUUAUCUGUGCCGAAAUCACAGCCUAAUUAAGUAGGAGUUUGUAUUCUACUACUGUUAGUGUGAGUGGUGAAUAGUAAAUGGAACUGACUGUAGCAGAUAGGAUGGGUGGCAGGAGAUGAAGGCUGGGGAAAGAGAAAAGAUGUUGCAUUUGAAAAUGUGCGGAAGGAGAAAGAUUACAGGAAAGACAUCCCACAAAAUGAAAUAGGAAGUGAGACAAGGAGAAAAGUCAGCAGAAUGUAGUUGCAGAUGAAUCUGGUGUUUUCCUUCCUCCCCUUGCAAUCAGUCUCUUCCCCUCACUGUCCCUCUCACCUUCAUCUCCAGAAGCCCUUGUGGAACAGAGUUCCUCUAAUGUUUUUCACUUUACAGCUUUUGUUGCCCUUUCCUCUGGCCAACAUUUUGCUUCAGUUCUUAAAACUUACUCUCCUUUUAGCAACACUGGAAAACUUGUUGCAUGGAAAGAUUUGUUUCAGGUGUCCAGUCAGUGCAAGCGCAGUUUAAAUGAAAUAUUGUUCAUGCAUUCCCUUUAUAUUUGUUUCCAAAGAUACAGAGAGGAGGUCCACCCUAGACUAAUUAGUUUAAGGAUGAUCUCAUUUUGCAGUUAGCUGCCUCAAAUAUUACUGCUUUACAUGUUAUCAAAAUACGGUUUAUCAGUCUCAGGCCACUGACAGAUCUUCCUCAAUAACUGGCAACAAAUCCAGAGAUAAUUCUCAGAAGAAGUCAGGAACACGUGGAAACACAAUGCCUUUACUUUGGUGCUACACAAAGUCUGUCUUUCACAUCUUUGAAAUACACACUUUAUAAUUUUGGAAGGUGAUUAGAUAAUACAGUUCAUAUACAACACUUUCCCACAUUUAAAUAAUGAAAAAAUAUGAAUUUAUAAUAUACUCCUCAAUUGGAAUAUAAAGGGUAUUCCGGAGUACUGCAGUAUAUUCUGGUAUUCCAGUAUGUUCCAGAGUUCUGGAAUGGAAUAUACUGGUGACAAUACUUGAUCCAGAAGUGGGAUUUCAGUUAAAUAUUGCAGCCAGUGUCUGAUUUUAAAUAUAGUCAAAUGGUUCUGUGUGUUUGAUAGGCAAUUCUGUUUCUUCAGAAAUUAUUUGCAUUCUAUUGGUAUGUAAGGGACAGAGAU
rnacentral:lncRNA from 1 species